CUGUAUCUAGGGAAUCAUUAAUACUUUAUGACUAUUAAUUCACCUGCAGCUAUCCAUGACUUACCCUUCCCUCAUAUUCUACCAUUAAUAUAAUAAAAUGUUUUUAAUAGUCAUUAUCAGCAUAAAAAACAACGAAUCUUUAUUAUCUUCUCUCAACAAACACCAACCCUAAACCCAUUUGAAAAAAAAUGACGAAAAAUUGAACACCAAAGCUCCAGAACCACGGAUGAACAUAAACAAAUUUCAACAAGCAAACAGAACACCAACAAGAUAGUAAUCGAUGCAAAACACAAACAAACCAAAAAGCUCAUCCCCAAUCCACACCCUUGAACCCCGAUUUCAUGAUUUCUAAGGUAUUACAUGUACAAUCAAAAUAACCGAAGGAAAAGAAACACAAUACAAUAUCAUUUAAACAAAGUUCUACCGAGUUCAGAUGAUACCGAGAUGACUCACAGGUAGCUAUUCUUUUCCGAUUCGCUUU
rnacentral:lncRNA from 1 species